rnacentral:rRNA from 1 species
UCGAGAAUCUUCGGCAAUGGGCGCAAGCCUGACCGAGCGACGCCGCGUGCGGGAUGAAGGCCUUCGGGUUGUAAACCGCUGUCGGAGGGGAGGAAAUGCGCGGGGGUUCUCCCUCGCGUUUGACCUAGCCCCAAAGGAAGGACGGGCUAAGUCCGUGCCAGCAGCCGCGGUAAGACGAACUGUCCACACGUUACUCGGCAUUACUGGGCUUAAAGGGUGCGUAGGCGGCUCAGAAGGUUGGGUGUGAAAGCCCUCGGCUUAACCGAGGAGGGUCGCCCAAACCUACUGAGCUUGAGGAGGACAAUGGUGGUGGGAACUUGCGGUGGAGUGGUGAAAUGCGUGGAUAUCGCAAGGAACACCAGGGGCGAAAGCGGCGCACUG